CACGUAGGCGGAUUCCUAAGUCGGGGGUGAAAUCCUGGAGCUCAACUCCAGAACUGCCUUCGAUACUGGGAAUCUUGAGUCCGGGAGAGGUGAGUGGAACUGCGAGUGUAGAGGUGAAAUUCGUAGAUAUUCGCAAGAACACCAGUGGCGAAGGCGGCUCACUGGCCCGGUACUGACGCUGAGGUGCGAAAGCGUGGGGAGCAAACA
rnacentral:rRNA from 1 species